rnacentral:rRNA from 1 species
UACGUAGGUGGCAAGCGUUGUUCGGAAUUAUUGGGCGUAAAGAGCUCGUCGGUGGUUUGUCGCGUUGUUCGUGAAAACUCACAGCUCAACUGUGGGCGUGCGGGCGAUACGGGCAGACUGGAGUACUGCAGGGGAGACUGGAAUUCCUGGUGUAGCGGUGGAAUGCGCAGAUAUCAGGAGGAACACCGGUGGCGAAGGCGGGUCUCUGGGCAGUAACUGACGCUGAGGAGCGAAAGCGUGGGGAGCGAACAGG